rnacentral:rRNA from 1 species
UACGUAGGGAGCAAGCGUUGUCCGGAAUCAUUGGGCGUAAAGCGCGCGUAGGUGGCUUCGUAAGUCCGUUGUGAAAGUCAAAGGCUCAACCUUUGAAAGCCGAUGGAUACUGCGGAGCUAGAGUACGGAAGAGGCGAGUGGAAUUCCUGGUGUAGCGGUGGAAUGCGCAGAUAUCAGGAGGAACACCGGUGGCGAAGGCGGCUUCCUGGACCACAACUGACGCUGAGGCGCGAAAGCUAGGGGAGCAAACAGG